GAUAAACUUGACAAUUUGUAGCAAAAUUCAAAUUGACUUUCUCUUUUUAGAAGUAGCAAAAUUGUUUUUUGAUUCUGGACUAGGUUUAAAAUUUUAAUGUUACUCAUCAAGAAUUGGAUGAGUUGUCAACACAAGUGUCUUGAGGGAUGAUAUUCGGCUUUAUGGGCGCAACAAUAACAUAUCCUUACCUUCAGUUCUACCAACACUUACGACUUAUGGGAUGCUUUGAUCCAUUCCGAAACACCAAAAAUUGAAAAGCAUAAGCAUAUUAGUUCCAAAUUUAUUAGAGUCAUCAAAAUCUAUUAUCUUUUCAAGAAUGUUGGUUUGCGUGUAUCUUCCUUCUAUAAAUAUUGCAUUUGUGAUUAGUAUCUAGGCUUUUCAGUUUUCAUAGCUGGGAAGAUCUUGAAUCGUCGACAAUGCCUAGUAUACAAGAUCCUGCAUCUGUCAUCGAGGAAAUUGGAAGGAGCUGCAGAAAUUUUGCUGAGCCCAAGAAAAUGAAGGUUGAAUCAUUAGUCUGGAUAACUAUAAAAUAUAAUACUUAAUCUUUGAAGAGUCUUGGUGAAUGGUGGUUCUCUUUCAAAAGGGGAAAGGGUUGAUUUCUGGUUGAGUGGCGAUGCACCUCCUUGAACAUAUCUCAAUUGAGAAUAGACUGUUGCAUACCCCAACUACACAGCUCAUAGAGUGAAAUCAGAAGAUUUAGUUGCCAUGUUGAAGAAACACUACCCCAACUACAAGUAUCCUAGACGGUGAAGUUCUCUCUUUUCCAUUUUAUGCUUCUUUAGUGGGAAUCUAAUGUCUAGUUUCUUGUGUCUGGUUCAAGAGUUACAGAAAAAAAAAGUAGCGUAAGAAAAUUGGAACUUCUCUUAUGGCUAUUUCAUUUUCUAUUUUCAGUGCGUGAUUAGAUGCUUAGAUGUAUUGAUAAGUAUUAUAGUAACAACCUUGUCCAGUAGUGAUAUUGUGGCUUUUGGGCCUAAGACUAUAUGACUUUAAAAUGUCUUACCCAAAGAGAUGCUUAGACAACUCCAUAGACCCUACAACCCUAGGCUCAAAUCGGACAAUAAUCACUCGUUGGUUGAGCUCUUAGACAUAGAAGUUCCUCAUUUAUCUAAAUCUAUUAUCCUAAAUGUACGUUAUACAUUACAGUUUUAGCGAUGUGACAGAGAAUGCAAGUUUUUGUUCAGAGAAGCUGCAGAAGUUUGAUUGGCAUGUAGGCCACUGGAGGAAACUCUAAUUGAUGUAGUUGAAAGUUACAAGCAAGGUGGCUUUCUAGAUUGAAGAAAAGGAGACACCUUAAGUUUACCUUUUUCCUUAUUGUAAUACUCUGUGGUUAAUAAUUGCUCUGUAUGUCUUUCAAGUUCAUUCUCUUGCAGACUAGUAUCUACAAUACUUAGUCUGGAAUAAGGAGGUUAUACUAUAACCCUUUUGUGUUUUAUUCCGUUGUCUCUUUUCGUUGAUUCUUUUGCUCUUAGUUGGGGUACAUUUCUCUCAAUGUGUAUUCAAGUUCAACCUUGUAUUUCUUUUCUUGGAGCUUAUGAGAAUGUAGCUUUGGUAGCGCAUUUUAAGUGAAGGUGCUUGGCAAAUUUAUCUAAUGUUGGUCAGCUUUUCGACAUUUCAAUAUGAACAGAGCAUUUGAGCAGAAUUUGUAUGCUUAUGUUCAUAAGCUAAUUGUCAAGAAAAUGAAAAUCAAGACAAAUUCAAGAAACAUCCCUAGAGAAUAAUGCGAUAACAUAAGUAAAUUAUGAAGUUGUGUACUAAAAAUUACACUAUAUACACCAUUUUGUUGUCAUAAUAAUUUACUUGUUAGCUCAACACUGGUGGCAAUGCUUGUCUAAUUAUAAUAGAACUCAAUAAAUGAAUAUGAUAUUUGGUUGAAAAGACAGAUGGUAUCUCUAAAGGGAGUGCUGUUUGUGAAUUGUAAAGAGUUCAUUUUUACCUUUAUUAAUUGUCCUUCUAGUGAACCAGUAAAGAGCGAGAAAGAAUUUGGGCUCGCAGUGUGGGUGUGCGCGGAUAUGUGUGGGGCGGAUUUAUGCGGCUCUAAAAGUUAUGCGAUGUGGUGCGAGGUGGUUAUCAAAUUCGCGGGUUUAAGAAAAUAAUCACACUCGCACCACAUCAUCCCAUUACCAUCCCUAUUUAGAAUAUAAGCUUCAACAACAAUAGUCAAGAUCAUGUCAAGAAUCAAAAGCGCAAUAAGAACCUUGCUAAGUGUAAACAGGAAAUACAAUAGUCAUAAAAUUCAUAAUCAUGAGUGAAGACCUAAAGAAAUAAUACAAUUGGAUCAUAAAAAUGGUAAAUUUAGAAGUGGGUUUGUAAACCCUAACUAUGAAAUUAAAUUCAUAAAAACGGAGGAGUUUUGGACAUGAGGAUGAAAGAAAAUCCUCAUUGAAGUCCUACAUACCUUAAUUGUUUUUUCAAGAAGUUAAGGAGAAACUCUAAUCCGAGGAAAGUUUCAAGAAUUCAGUUCUUGGAGUCUUGAUUGAGUUUUUCUUGAAAAUCCUAGGUUUUGGUGUAGGAUUGCAUGAAUAAUUGUGAAAAAAAAAUGAUUGAAAUACUCGAUAUUACUUAAAAUUGCAUUGGAGUAACAUGCCUUGGGGUUGGAGGAUGAGGAGGAGGGAAAAUAUCAACUUAGGGCUAAUGGGAAAUAAAAAGAAAGUGGCAAAAGUCGAAAAAUGACCUUUUAAUGUAUCCAGAUGUCUAUUUCAGCAAUUUAGAGGUGAGAUCAUCAAAUAUCAGGCAGUUUGCCAAAGUGCAUUCUUAGAUCUCCAAAAUGAAUGAUAUUUUAAGGUUUUCGGGUGAGUUUGGCGCAUUGCCAAACUAUUCGGCGAUUCACAAAAAAAUUUUCAGCACUGAUACAUUUUAGUAAAACAAUCAUAACUUUCUACUCCAAAUCGAAUAAACGAACGAUCAGUGGCAUUGAAAAGAAAACUCAAAAAUCUUUAAUUUGGUGGGUUUUGAGCCCAAAAUGCUUCAUAUUCUAUGAGUUAUGCUCAUUUAAAGUUGACCCGAGUAAAAUCUUAUACGAAAACUUAAUCGAUGAAGAAACUCUCAACUCAGAGAGAUAAGUUCCUUAUGAAUUUUAUUCAUACUCAAAGUUCUUCCCACACUAAAGAAUUUGAGUUGUUUUGCCAUGUGCAUGUAUAUAAAGUGGAGUUGUUUUAAAAUGUUAUUAUGAAAGAAGUGGGAGUGAAAAAAAGUAAAAGCAAAUUGAAACUUAUUCACUUUCUAAAAUACAACUUUAAAUUUGAACUUGAAUUUUUAUGACCAAUUUUUUUUUUUUAAUAAAGUGAAUUUUUCUCCGAGAAAUAGUGAAUAUUUGUUGUAGUCAAAGUGCGUCUUACAAGAAGUUGCCAUAAAUUGAUGCUGCCGCUUUUUACCAAGAGGGAGACGUAAUUCCCCAGCGAGUUAAGACAAAGCACGGUCCACGGUUGAAUAGUACAAACGCUUUUCGAGUGGAGAGGUUUUGCCCCAGUUCGUAGGUGUGAGAGGUUGGCCUUGGAAGGUUUCAAGCGGGGUAGGGGUAGACCGAAAAAACGCUGGAGAGAAGUGAUUUAACGUGACAUGGAGCAGUUACAGCUGACUGAGGACAUGACCCUGGAUAGAAAGUUAUGGAGGAAAAGCAUUAGAGUAGAGGGCUAAGGGUGUGGAGGAGUAGUAGUCAGUAAGUAGGUGGACUUGCUGUCGUUUGUUGGCAAAUUUAUGUAUUUAUCUAUUUAUUUAUGACUUGAGUUAUUGAUUUACGUAUGUAUUUCUUUUUUCUUUUCUCUAAUUGCGAGUGUCGUACCUAUUUUAUUUGUAUCAUGUUCUACGAUUUUGAUGUUUCUGUUUAAUGUCUUUUGUCUUGAGCCGGGGGUCUAUCGGAAACAGCCUUUUUACCUCCCUAGAGGUAGUGGUAUGGACUGCGUACAUUCUACCCUCCCCAGACCCCACUAUGUGGGAAUAUACUGGGUUUGUUGUUGUUGUUGUUGUUGUUGCUUUUUGAGUGGAUAAGUCACAAUCCUUAUCCUCUCUCCCUCUUAUCCAUUUCCUAAUUUCUGAAAAGGGUUUUAGCUGAUUGCUUGUUGAAUGGAUUGUGGCCUCUCCUUCUCCUAUACCAAAAUUUCCCUUCAUCAGUCUUUACCUUUUACGGUGAAGACUUUGCUAUCAUCAUCAACCCCUUUUGUUUUCAACAAUUCUUCUGUCGGUUGUAGAAGAUCGUUGUUUAUAGUGGUCAGUGGUAGUAGUAGCAGCAGCAGUAAGUGUGAAUUCAGUGGCUUCAACGCGCCGCUGGAACCAACAACGCAGGCUGGGAGGCGGCUGAGCACUGUGCUUCAGAAUGAUAGUAAGUACUUCCAUGUCGCCGUUCAGAAACAGUUGGAGAAGUUGGCUUAUGAACGGUAUGAAGCUGUGGCUCGGGUGAAUCUGAGCUUGGAAUCUGAUGAAGCUUUUCUGCAUAGGAGGAUUGCUAAAGUAAAAGAGCAGGAGUGUCAAGCUGCUGUUGAAGACAUUAUGUACAUGCUAACAUCUUAAAAGUUUUCUGGAAUCAGAGUGCACUUGGUUCCCAGGCUUUCAUACGGCCUUGCAAGGACUGAGAACUUGAGUCUAUCCAUAGCUCUGAAGUACUGGAAAUGGUUAGGGAACAUCUUACUACUGUUCUAGGUUGGAAAGAGAAGUCAAAUGUGGCAGACAAUUGGUCCCCUACUAAGUACAGAAGUUCCUUUAUAUGGGUAUUUUUUGAAGUCAGCUUCCUUGAGACACCAUUUGGAGCAGAAACUUUAUCAUGUCAACCCUGACCUUGGUCUUGCUAAUUCCAACCAACUCUUACUUUCAGAGAUUCGGUCCUUAGGAUCGGGGAUUGUUCCCAUUGAUCGCUCCAGCAGCACACGAUCUACAUCAGUUGGUCAAAUACCACUUAUCCGUGAAAAGAAGCAAAACAAUCUGAAGUAUUAUGUGAUGAGUUUUGACCCAGAAACAUUGCAGAUGUGUGCGAAGCCGAAGUCCAAGGAGGCCCUGAAUCUGAUUUAGAAGCAUAGCCAUGCACUCUUCGGUGAUAAAAAGACAGGUUUGGUGGCAAGUGAUGAAGUAAUUUCGACUUCAUUGGCAAGUUUGAAGAGAAUUGUUUUGGAGGCUAUUGCUUUUGGUUCCUUCCUUUGGGAUGAAGAAGAAUACGUUGGGACUGUGUAUAAGCUCAAAGAGAACUAACUAGGCAGUGGCAUGAUAUGUUUUCAAUUAAUGUUUUGUCAUAUAUAUGUAUAUAUACUAUCUAGAAGCUUUCUGCUAUCUGAUACCAAAAGAUUUAUUCUCUGAUAGGUGACGUCAGAGGAUAUGCUUUGUAAAUUUGAGUUGUAUAGAGUGUCAUCCAUAGUAUGUGAAUAAAUCAUGUAUGAUGUAAAGCAGUUUCAUGACUGUCUAUUGACGAGUGCCCAAACCACUCAUUUUGGCCUGUA